rnacentral:rRNA from 1 species
UACAGAGGUCUCAAGCGUUGUUCGGAUUCAUUGGGCGUAAAGGGUGCGUAGGCGGCGCGGUAAGUCGGGUGUGAAAUCUUGGAGCUUAACUCCGAAACUGCAUUCGAUACUGCCGUGCUUGAGGACUGGAGAGGAGACUGGAAUUUACGGUGUAGCGGUGAAAUGCGUAGAUAUCGUAAGGAACACCAGUGGCGAAGGCGGCUACCUGGCCUAAUACUGACACUGAGGCACGAAAGCGUGGGGAGCAAACAGG